rnacentral:rRNA from 1 species
GAGUUUGAUCCGGGCUCAGGACGAACGCUGGCGGCGUGCCUAAUACAUGCAAGUAGAACGCUGAAGAGAGGAGCUUGCUCUUCUUGGAUGAGUUGCGAACGGGUGAGUAACGCGUAGGUAACCUGCCUUGUAGCGGGGGAUAACUAUUGGAAACGAUAGCUAAUACCGCAUAACAAUAGGUGACACAUGUCAUUUAUUUGAAAGGGGCAAUUGCUCCACUACAAGAUGGACCUGCGUUGUAUUAGCUAGUAGGUGAGGUAACGGCUCACCUAGGCGACGAUACAUAGCCGACCUGAGAGGGUGAUCGGCCACACUGGGACUGAGACACGGCCCAGACUCCUACGGGAGGCAGCAGUAGGGAAUCUUCGGCAAUGGGGGCAACCCUGACCGAGCAACGCCGCGUGAGUGAAGAAGGUUUUCGGAUCGUAAAGCUCUGUUGUAAGUCAAGAACGAGUGUGAGAGUGGAAAGUUCACACUGUGACGGUAGCUUACCAGAAAGGGACGGCUAACUACGUGCCAGCAGCCGCGGUAAUACGUAGGUCCCGAGCGUUGUCCGGAUUUAUUGGGCGUAAAGCGAGCGCAGGCGGUUUGAUAAGUCUGAAGUUAAAGGCUGUGGCUCAACCAUAGUUCGCUUUGGAAACUGUCAAACUUGAGUGCAGAAGGGGAGAGUGGAAUUCCAUGUGUAGCGGUGAAAUGCGUAGAUAUAUGGAGGAACACCGGUGGCGAAAGCGGCUCUCUGGUCUGUAACUGACGCUGAGGCUCGAAAGCGUGGGGAGCGAACAGGAUUAGAUACCCUGGUAGCCCACGCCCGUAAACGAUGAGUGCUAGGUGUUGGAUCCUUUCCGGGAUUCAGUGCCGCAGCUAACGCAUUAAGCACUCCGCCUGGGGAGUACGACCGCAAGGUUGAAACUCAAAGGGAUUGACGGGGGCCCGCACAAGCGGUGGAGCAUGUGGUUUAAUUCGAAGCAACGCGAAGAACCUUACCAGGUCUUGACAUCCCGAUGCUAUUUCUAGAGAUAGAAAGUUACUUCGGUACAUCGGUGACAGGUGGUGCAUGGUUGUCGUCAGCUCGUGUCGUGAGAUGUUGGGUUAAGUCCCGCAACGAGCGCAACCCCUAUUGUUAGUUGCCAUCAUUCAGUUGGGCACUCUAGCGAGACUGCCGGUAAUAAACCGGAGGAAGGUGGGGAUGACGUCAAAUCAUCAUGCCCCUUAUGACCUGGGCUACACACGUGCUACAAUGGUUAGUACAACGAGUUGCGAGUCGGUGACGGCAAGCUAAUCUCUUAAAGCCAAUCUCAGUUCGGAUUGUAGGCUGCAACUCGCCUACAUGAAGUCGGAAUCGCUAGUAAUCGCGGAUCAGCACGCCGCGGUGAAUACGUUCCCGGGCCUUGUACACACCGCCCGUC